UAUCGAUCGGCGUGUCCUCCACUCCCCUGGUGCCGAGAGAUAAGGAGACACACUCUUUAGAGCAAUAUAAUUUCUUUUGACCUAUCUGCUUGCUACAGACUUAUGAUGAAUAGCCAGAGUGGCUGAAGUCCUUUAUCACCAAAGUUACCCCCUUGAUAUAAUAUUGAUUCUUUAUAACUAGCUCGCCACACAAAAAUCAAACUGUCCACUUGGCCAUCAUCAUCAUCAAUAUCAUCACAAAGGCGGAGGAAUGAAGAUCCCUGCGCCUCUGAAGGCGAGCCUUUACAAUCUCCUCUGUAGGCCUAAUCUUUAUUUUGCUGAUGAUGAAAGGAGAGGGGAAACGAGGCAAGGUGCCAUUUAAGACGAGGUGCCUUUUAAUCCGGCAGAGACUACAUACACACACACACACACACACAUAGAGAGAGGGAGAGGGAGGGAAGAUCUAGACAGGAUUGCCAAACAGCUUGGACUUCUGGGAAACUAAUUCAUUUGGUGCGAGAAUUUUGAUCGACAGAAAGAUUCUGUCUGAUUUGAGCUUUUACACACCAUUCAAUACCACUUCCAUACUUGUCCCAUGAUUUUCCUGUUAUGGUACACAGGGCUGAAGAAAAAAAAGUCCAUGCGCAAAACAACUCUUUAAAAAAAUAUAUGCCAAAUGAAUGACUGCAGUGAGGAGGGGAAAUUCAUGUUUGUUUUGAGACACUGCGGAUUCCGGAUGCGCCUCGGAGGUAUCCUUUAACCCUAAAAAAAAAAAAAAAAAAAAAAAAAAAAAAACACCGUCUGGUUUUGCUGCAUAGCUGGAGCCCCGUGGAAGCUAUUCCAACGGGGCCACUCUCUCUAUUCACCGAGAGAAGGGAGAGCGCUGCUGGUGGAGGACUCGAGGUGGAGGGGUGGGGGUGGGGGAGACUGAGAGGGUGGGAGAGGAGGGAGAGGAGAAACGUGUAAUCACCCAAACAACCAUUUUUACCCAUUUCACCCCCUCUGGAUCUGUGUCGCAAGCCCGCCGCGAGGUUUAUCAUUCUUUCACUGCGGAUACCGUGGAGGGAGGCCGGAGCGCGAGGAAGACACCAAAAAGAGGAAAGGUGGAUCCACGGGGGGUGAAGAAAUCAUGUGGCAAAAACACAUCACUCCCGAGGCCCAGUUUGUAUGGCUGUCAGCGGCGACCGGCGAGGUGACGGACAGGACCCGGGAGAGGGGACAGCUGCUGCACGUCAAUCCACAUCAUAAUUUGAAAAGCUUUUCCGCCGAAGCUGAAACGGAGGGUAGAAGAAAGAGGAAAGAAGCCACGAUCUGCGGAAAUCACCCCACUCAGUCCCAUCCGUAUCGCUCCCUUCCCGCUUCUGGCUUUUUUUUGCCCUCUGCUGUCAAGACCCGAAAUUAUUUGGUGACCUCUUUCUGCUGUAGAUGGCGAGGCCGAACACUAUGUAUUACGGCGUCUUUUAGUCCCGCAUCAACUUGUGAGAAAGCUUGAUCGAAAAGGUUGUACAGUGAACGUAAAUCCUUGUGAAGAUUCUGCAUUUUGUCUUUUUUUUUUCCUUUUGAUUUGUUCAAAUAAAAUGUAAACACUAGUGCA